UGGGGAAUAUUGGACAAUGGGCGAAAGCCUGAUCCAGCCAUGCCGCGUGUGUGAAGAAGGUCUUCGGAUUGUAAAGCACUUUAAGUUGGGAGGAAGGGCAGUAAGCGAAUACCUUGCUGUUUUGACGUUACCGACAGAAUAAGCACCGGCUAACUCUGUGCCAGCAGCCGCGGUAAUACAGAGGGUGCAAGCGUUAAUCGGAAUUACUGGGCGUAAAGCGCGCGUAGGUGGUUCGUUAAGUUGAAUGUGAAAGCCCCGGGCUCAACCUGGGAACUGCAUCCAAAACUGGCGAGCUGGUGUAGGGCAGAGGGUGGUGGAAUUUCCUGUGUAGCGGUGAAAUGCGUAGAUAUAGGAAGGAACACCAGUGGCGAAGGCGACCACCUGCGCUCAUACUGACACUGAGGUGCGAAGGCGGGGGGAGCAAACAGG
rnacentral:rRNA from 1 species